rnacentral:rRNA from 1 species
UACGGAGGGAGCUAGCGUUGUCCGGAAUUACUGGGCGUAAAGCGCACGUAGGCGGCUAUUCAAGUCGGGGGUGAAAGCCCGGGGCUCAACCCCGGAACUGCCCUCGAAACUAGAUAGCUAGAAUCUUGGAGAGGUCAGUGGAAUUCCGAGUGUAGAGGUGAAAUUCGUAGAUAUUCGGAAGAACACCAGUGGCGAAGGCGACUGACUGGACAAGUAUUGACGCUGAGGUGCGAAAGCGUGGGGAGCAAACAGG